rnacentral:sRNA from 1 species
CCGGGCUUUUGAUACGCUUG